rnacentral:misc_RNA from 1 species
GUGAGUCAUCGAAUCUUUGAACGCACAUUGCGCCCUCUGGCAUUCCGGAGGGCAUGCCUGUCCGAGCGUCAUUUCUGCCCUCCAGCGCGGCUGGGUGUUGGGCGCUGUCCCCCCGGGGACACGCCCCAAAGGCAGUGGCGACGCCGCGUCGAGUCCUCGAGCGUAUGGAGCUUUGUCACCUGCUCGGGAGGGAUUCGCCGGCCUCGGUCUUCCCCGAUGGGCCCCGUACAGGGCCGAUCUUUCCGGUUGACCUCGGAUCAGGUAGGGCUACCCGCUGAACUUAAGCAUAUCAAUAAGCGG